rnacentral:misc_RNA from 1 species
GCUAGAAAUCCCUUCCGGCCCCCAUGGUUUCUCCCGAAGCCGCCGGGGUCGGGCAUGCUGGCGUGGGGAUGCCGACCGCCGUGCUUCGGCACGGGACCGGUCCUCCCGCGCUUAAACGUGGAGGAAAGCUAGCGGGCACUGCCCGGACCGUGAGGACUCGUAGAAACCUUUCCACCGUCUUAGCGGCAUCCGGCCCUGCCUUGCCUUAAACCCCAGGGGACCCUUUUACGGGUUCCCCGACGA